UACGUAGGGAGCAAGCGUUGUCCGGAAUCAUUGGGCGUAAAGCGCGCGUAGGCGGCCCCGUAAGUCCGCUGUGAAAGUCAAAGGCUCAACCUUUGAAAGCCGGUGGAUACUGUGGGGCUAGAGUCCGGAAGAGGCGAGUGGAAUUCCUGGUGUAGCGGUGGAAUGCGCAGAUAUCAGGAGGAACACCAAUAGCGAAGGCAGCUCGCUGGGACGGUACUGACGCUAAGGCUCGAAAGCGUGGGGAGCGAACAG
rnacentral:rRNA from 1 species